rnacentral:rRNA from 1 species
CCUACGGGUGGCUGCAGUCGAGAAUCAUUCACAAUGGGGGAAACCCUGAUGGUGCGACGCCGCGUGGGGGAAUGAAGGCCUUCGGAUUGUAAACUCCUGUCAUGUGGGAGCAAAUUAAAAAGAUAGUACCACAAGAGGAAGAGACGGCUAACUCGGUGCCAGCAGCCGCGGUAAUACAGAGGUCUCAAGCGUUGUUCGGAAUCACUGGGCGUAAGGCGUGCGUAGGCUGUUUCGUAAGUCGUGUGUGAAAGGCGCGGGCUCAACCCGCGGACGGCACAUGAUACUACGAGACUAGAGUAAUGGAGGGGGAACCGGAAUUCUCGGUGUAGCAGUGAAAUGCGUAGAUAUCAAGAGGAACACUCGUGGCGAAGGCGGGUUCCUGGACAUUAACUGACGCUGAGGCACGAAGGCCAGGGGAGCGAAAGGGAUUAGAUACCCGGGUAGUC